rnacentral:rRNA from 1 species
UGUGUGCUGCGCGUAUACUCCCUUAGAGUUUGAUCCUGGCUCACAUUGAACGCUGGCGGCAGGCUUAACACAUGCAAGUCGAGCGGAGAUGAGGUGCUUGCACCUUAUCUUAGCGGCGGACGGGUGAGUAAUGCUUAGGAAUCUGCCAUUUAGUGGGGGACAACAUUCCGAAAGGAAUGCUAAUACCGCAUACGUCCUAUGGGAGAAAGCAGGGGAUCUUCGGACCUUGCGCUAAAUGAUGAGCCUAACUCGGAUUAGCCAGUUGGUGGGGUAAAGGCCUACCAAGGCGACGAUCUGUAGCGGGUCUGAGAGGAUGAUCCGCCACACUGGGACUGAAACACGGCCCACACUCCUACGGGAGGCAGCACUGGGGAAUAUUGGACAAUGGGCGGAAGCCUGAUCCAACCAUGCCGCGUGUGUGAAGAAGGCCUUUUGGUGGGAAAGCACUUUAAGCGAGGAGGAGGCUACUAUUACUAAUACUACUGGAUAGUGGACGUUACUCCCACAAUAAGCACCGGCUAACUCUGUGCCAGCAGCCGCGGUAAUACAGAGGGUGCGAGCGUUAAUCGGAUUUACUGGGCAUAAAGCGUGCGAAUGCGGCUUUUUAAGUCGGAUGUGAAAUCCCCUAGCUUAACUUGGGAAUUGCAUUCAAUACUGGGAAGCUAGAGUAUGGGAGAGGAUGGUAGAAUUCCAUGUGUAACGAUGAAAUGCUUACAGAUCUGGAGGAAUACCGAUGGCAAAUGCAGCCAUCUGGCCUAAUACUGACGCUGAGGUACGACAGCAUGGGGAGCAAACGGGAUUAGAUACCCUGGUAGUCCAUGCCUUAAACCAUGUCUAGUACCCGUUGGGACCUUUGAGGCUUUAGUGGCGCAGCUUACGCGAUUAGUAGACCGCCUGGAGAGUACUGACUCAAGACUAAGGCUCGUAUGAAUUGACGGGUGCCCCCCAAAUCAGUGGAGCGUGGUGGCUUCACUUCGAUGCGACGCUGAGGAUCUUAUCCUGGCCUUGACAUACUACCAUACUCUCCACAUGAUGGAUCUGAUGACCCUUCUGGAAAUCUAGAUACGGGUGCUGCAUGGACUGUCGAAUCAGACUUGUGGUCAUGAGAUGUGGCUCAUGUUCGCUCCUAGCGAGUGCUCAAGCUUAGUCCGGACUUGACAGGCCAAUUCUCUGUAUUGGCCGUUAAUUUGUUAGGGCCA